rnacentral:lncRNA from 1 species
AUCACGUGCCUUCCUUUCCCUUGCUUUAGCUAACCGGAAUAACUUCCUGUCCCCGCCUUUCUCCCCUAGUUCCUCGUACAUGCGACCAAACGUCGCGUUUUUAGCUUCCGUAACCGCCAGCUUUGUUUCUUUCCUCGCCACCUUGUAGAUCUCCAUGUUCGCUCUUCGUUCUUCCUCGCUUGUGCUCCCUGCCAACUUAGCAAACGCCGCCUUCUUCACCUCUAUUUUUCCUUCGACUACAUCGUUCCACCACCAGUCACCCUGAUGUCUGCCUGAAUUGCCCUUGGAUAGCCCGAGCACGUCCCGUGCUACCUCCCUAACCAUGUUCGCUGUCUCUGACUACAUAGCGUCCGCUUCCCCAAAACGUCUCCAAGCUCUGCCCUUAGCUAACCUCCUCUCCAAAUCAUGUGCUUUCUCCUUAGUCAAAACACCCCAUCUAAUCCGCGGUUGUACCUGAGCAUCCCUCCUCUUCCUCUACCCAGAGACCGACAUCCAUCAGUAGGAAUCUAUGAAGAGUCGAAACACAUACCCCUAUCGCUUCUUCUGAGAAGGAUGUAAUCAAUCUGAGUCCUCGCCG